rnacentral:lncRNA from 10 species
AACAGACCACUCAGCUCUACCAAUCAGCAAGAUGUGGGUGGGGCCAGAUAAGAGAAUAAAAGCAGGCUGCCCCAGCCAACAGUGGCAAUCCGCUCCGGUCCCCUUCCACGCUGUGGGAGCUUUGUUCUUUUGCUCUUUGCAAUAAAUCUUGCUACUCCUCACUCUUUGGGUCCACACUGCUUUUAUGAGCUGGAACACUCACCGCGAAGGUCUGCAGCUUCACUCCUGAAGCCAGCGAGACCACGAGCCCACCGGGAGGAACCAACAACUCCAGACGCGCCGCCUUAAGAGCUGUAACACUACCGCGAAGGUCUGCAGCUUCACUUCUGAACCAGCUAGACCACGAACCCACCAGAAGGAAGAUACUCGGAACACAUCCGAACAUCAGAAGGAACGAACAACUCCAGACGCGCCACCUUAAGAGCUGUAACACUCACCGCAAGGGUGCGCGGCUUCAUUCUUGAAGUCGGUGAGACAAAAAACCCGCCAACUCCGGACACACUAUCACUGCUCCCAGGGAGAUAAUUCACUUUUUGAAGCCCAGCAGGGAGGAAGUACACUUUUUGAAGCUAUGCAACUGUGAACACUGUGAUUUAGAGGGGAUGAAAAAGAAUAGCAGAAAAAGGAAAGGGAAAAAAAAAGAAAAGAGACAAAAUUUCUAACUAAAAAAAUUAAAAUUAAAAAAAACCAAAAAACAAAAAAACCUUCCCCCUUUACAAUCAGGCUUGGCCUGACAGCCAGCUUGAAAAUCUAGGGCAGAACACAAGGGACUUCCCACCAAGAACUAUGGCUGAUUAUUCCAUUUUACAUUUUUAAAAAGAAAAGGAGAAGAAGAAAAAAAACUUCUCGGAAGUGCGAAUGAGGAUUGAAUUGCAGUAAAGCACAACAGGCCACCAUGUCUGAGCAACAGGGAUUUGGUUCUCUGUAUGGAGAUGCAGUCUGACAAGACAAGUUCACUGCAGUUCACAGCGCCGUUGAACGCCAAGGCCCAGGAGGUUCACAUCUGGGACUCAGCACACAAGCAUUAUCACUGCUACAGCUGCAGCUGUUACUGUGCUUCUAUCCCUGGCACCAGCUCCUUCCUAAUUAAUGGCCUCUGUUUUUGAACUUUAUUUUGCUACCCACUGGCUCCUGCAGAACUCUUGCAUGGCUGGCUUCCCACUGUGUUUUAAGACACUGUCUCUGGCCUCAGUCCCAGCCCUACCGUGGAUCAUUUCUUCAGUUAAAGAAAUAUGAAAAUUGUUUGAAACAACUGGGAUACACUACUUGGAGAAAAGAAGAUCCAAGGAGCCCAUAUCAAAUGUCUAAGGCCCCUAGAUAAUCGAAAUCUAGAAGAAAGUCUAGAUUUAUUAUGUGGCUCCAGACAGGAUAUUAGAACAAAUGGGAAAACACUCUUCUGCCCAAUAUCGAGAACUUUCCAAAAUUGUGGUUGUCCAACAAUGGAAUAUGCUGCUACUAUAAGUCAUGUAUUUUCUGUAAUUGAGCAUACUCAAGCAGAAGUGUAAUGACUACUUCUUGGGAAUGUAGUAGAAGUGAUUCUUGAAUCAAAUAAGAGCUGGUCUGAGUACAGCCAAGGCCCUGCUGACUUCUUAAGUCAGCAAAACUGAGAUACCAAACUGUUCUUCACAGCCAACUGAUGCAAGUACAGUUCCCAAUAAAACCCCCUAUUAGCACAACAUUUCUUGAAUUAUCUGUUGUUUCUUCAUGAAGUUCCUUCAGAACGUUGGUUCAUUCGCCGCACACAUUUCUAAGACAUAAAUUAUCAUGAGAUGAGAGGAAACUCACAUUGCUCUCCAAAACACAGACAAGUACUUCUGUGUCAGUUUCAAGAAGGAUGGAGCAAGAGAGUCCCAUAAGGGCUCCCUGUUAGAAUCUGAGGAGAAAGAUCUUGAUUAUCAAAAACUGAAUCCUAGCUGUUCUAGAAGAGGGCAGUUUGUUUGUGGCUUGUUUUCCACCUCCAGUGGAAAAUGUUUUUUUGUUUCAAGUUACAAUCAUUUAAAAUGUCAAAACUAUCUUCAUAACACACAACCUGAGGCUAUAUUCUGAAACCAAAUGAAAUUCCAUGGAAACCACUUACAUUGCUCAGUAGAUUGGGAAGCCUCUCUUAAGUAAUCUCCCCUCGCCCAAGGAAUUUAAAACACAAGUGGAAACACUUCUCUUUUGUUACUCACUCAACUUGAUUGCCUCCACCCAGACUGAAACACAAAAAUACCUCUGCCUUCGGUAUGCUGAAAAUGAUUCUUCAAGCUAUGAGUUGAGAUAUUUCAUGGCAAGGGCUUUUAUCUCCAUAAAGUAUUUCCUGAAAGAACUACCCCAAUUCCAUUUGAGGGAAUAUUACACAGCCAAUAAACAUUAUGUUCACAAAGAGUUUCUAACAACAGUACCAAUGUUAUUUUUGUCAAAUGGAAACAAAGCAGUUAUUUCAAGUUUACUAGUGACAAAAGCCAUGUGUAAAAAGACUGUAGCCUCCAGGUCAGGAUGCCUCAGUAAAUCCACCCUUCAAUCAUCCCUCUGCUUUAAAUGCACAAAACGACUGAUAAAAUAUAAAAAAUGAAAACCAACAUGACAUUGCUUGUUCAAAAACAAGACAAAUACAUUUGUAAAGAUGGGACAAUAAUGUAAAAUGAUACGUAGGACUGAAGUCUCAGGACUGCAGGCUUCGAGCAAAAGGGCCCAAAACAAGUAGGUAUUUAGAUCGGUUCACAAGCUAGAGUCGGUGUUUGAAGCCAAGGGGUGGAGUAGCUUCUCUCAGCUCCUUCACUCCAAAGGAGGCACAAAAAUAAAAAUAGCGCAGGCCACCCUCUGUCUGAAACAAGUGCAUUUCAGUAGAUGCAAGUCCAAAAAGGCAGGUGGAACUAGGCACCAAUUCAAACCACCUUCUGUCUCUGUGAUAGAUCAGUAGUAUUCCCAAUAUCACCUUGUAUUAAUUUUCUAAGGCUGACAUGACAAAGUACCACAAACUAAGUGGCUUAAAACUAUGAAAAUUUAUUCUCUCACAUUUCUGGAGGAUACAUUCCCAUACUCAAGGUGUUUGAAGAGACAUACCUUCAUCAAAAGCUUUAGGGAAACAAUCUUUCUUUUCCUCUUUUAGCUUCUGGUGGACCCAGGCAUUCCUUGGUUUAUGGCAGCAUCACUCCAAUUUCUGCCUUGGUCUUCACAUAACCAUCUUCUGCUGUGAGUGAGUCUCUGUAUCUAAAUCUCCCUCUUCUUUCUUCUCUUAUAAAGACAUCAGCCACUGGAUUAGGGCUACUCCAAUCUAAUGUGACCUCAUCUUAAUUUGACUAUGUCUGCAAAGACCUUAUUUCCAAAUAAGGUCACAUUUACAGGUACCAGGAUUAGGACUUCAACUUAUCUUCUUGGGGACCCAGUUCAACCCACAACACACUCUGAAGCAGAAAUCCCCAUCACUGCCUUUAUCAGACCCAGCUCUGGACUGGGGACUCAGAGAAAUGGAUGAAGGAAACCACAAAACACCAGAAAGAAACGAAAAAUAAUUAAAAUCCUCCUUAGUCAAAAUGAGCACAGAAAUAAGAAUUUCAAAAUGUGUGCAGAAAUGUAAUAAGAAUCUCAAACUGUGCGAGGAACUAGAAAGCCACAAAAGAAAGCCAAAAAAUGGAUAAUUUGAACACAAAUUCACUCCAUUGUAAAACUGAUUUCACAGAAAUAUCAGACCAAGACUUUAAAAUGAAGUACAUACAAUAAAGAGGAUAAAAGAAGCCAUAAUGUUGAUUUAAAAGAACAAGGAAUCAUUAAGCAGGAAGAAAUCAAACAAGAACAAGAGGCUGUGAAAAAGACCAAUGGAUCCUGAAAAAUAAAAAUGUUGAUAUAAAGGUGACAUGACAGGAAAAAUUUUGGACUGUUCCUAGUUAAAGAGAGAGUUCAUUAACUAAAAGAUAGUCCUGAUGAAGCCACCCAGAAUAAGACACAGAGAGACAAAGCAAUUGUUUUUUAAUUAGAAAGACAGUGAAGACACAUGGAAAAGAGAAUGAGAGUCUCCAAUAUUUAAUUAAAAAGCAUCCACAAAGUAGAGAAUGGAGGAACUGGUAAAGAUGCAAUUUUUUUUUUUUUUUUUUUUGAGACAGGGUCUCACUCUGUCACCCAGGCUGGAGACCAGUGAUGCAAUCAUAAAUCACUGCAGCCUCGACCUCCCCAGGUUCAGGUGAACCUCCCACCUCAGCCUCCUGAGUAGUAGGACUACAGGUGCUUGCCACCAUACCUGGCUAAUUUUUGCAUUUUUUUGUAGAGACUGGUCUCACUAUGUUGCCCAGGCUGGCCUCGAACUCCUGGCUCAAGAGAUCCACCCACCUUGGCCUCCCAAAGUGCUAGGAUCACUGAGUCACCAUGCCCAACCAAAGAUGCAAUAUUUAAAAUGAUACUUGCUGAGCAUUUCAAAAUGAAAGAGCAAUGUGAGUUCUCAGAACAAUCAUGCCUUCUGAUAAAUAAAAGUAAAUCCAUAUUGGCAGGACAUAAAGCAGCAGUUUUUAACGUUUUUGGCACCAGGGACUGGUUUCACGGAAGACAAUUUUUUCACUGGGGGAGUGCAGGGGGUGGUUUUGGGAUGAAACUGUUCCACCUCAGUUCAUCCUAUGAGAUUCUAAUUCUCCUAUGAGAAUCUAAUGCCUCUGCUGAUUUGACAGGAAGCAGAGCUCAGGCGGUAAUGCUCGCUGGCCCGCUGCUCACCUCCUAUGCUGCGGCUGGGUUCCUAACAGGCCACGGACCGGUACCCGUCCACAGCUAGGGCUUAGGGACCCCUGACAUAAAGGAUAAGGAAACAACCUCAAAAAGGACCAGAGAGAAGACACAGAUUACCCAUGAAUGAGCAAAAACUAGUCCUUGAGAGGACUUCCAAGCUGCAGCCAUAGAUGGCAAAGAUCAGUGCAGUGGUACCACAGAGUGCUGAGAGAAAAUAAGCAUCUAGCCAGGCCUUGGUGGCUCACGCCUGUAUUCCCAGUAAUUUGGGAGGCCGAGGCAGGCAGAUCACCUGAGGUCAGGAGUUCGAGACCAGCCUAACCAACACGGUGAAACCCAUCUCCACCAAAAAUAUAAAUAUUAGCUGGGUGUGGUGGCAUGCACCUGUAAUGCCAAGUACCUGGGAGGCUAAGGCAUGAGAAUCACUUGAACUUGAGAGGAGGAGGUUGCAGUGAGCCACAGUCACACGAUUCUACUCUGGCCUGGGUGACAGAGCAAGACUCCGUCUCAAAAAAAAAAGAAAAGAAAAAAAAGAAGCAUCUAUCUAGAAUUUUAUACCCAGUUAAACCCUGGUUCAAAUGUGAUAGCAAAAUAAAUAUUUUUAUACACAUAAAAGACCAAGAGACUUUAACACCCAAAGACAUUUUCUAAAAGAACUAUUAAAGAAUGCACUUUAACAAAAAGAAAGAUAAACCCAUAGGGAGGAAUGAGAUUAAAGAAAAACACAGUGAACAGACAAAAAGGUUUGUUAAUAUCAGUCAAUGAAACUAACUACAAGCUGUGAACAAUAAUUACUAUGUUUUAUAUUUAAAAGGCAUAAAACUACAACUCUAAGCAACUAUGACAGGAAAGUGGGAUGUUCAAUGAGUAGUUAUGGUGUGGUAAGACUCUGAGAAGACAGCAGAAAUACUAAAGAACCAUAGGAUCACUAAGUAUGCAUGGAAAAAAGACUGGAAAGAAAUGCAAUAAAUGAGCCAGAUGCAGUGGCUCACACCUGUAAUCCCAACACUUUGGGAGGCUGAGGCAGGAGGAUCUCUUGAGGCCAGGAGUUUGAGAAUAGCCCUGGCAGCAUAACAAGACCUCUAUCUCUACAAAAAUAAAAAAUUAGGCCGGGUGUGGCAGCUCGUACCUAUAAUCCCAGCACUUUGGGAGACUGAGGUGGGCGGAUCACUUGAGGUCAGGUGUUCAACACCAGCCUGGCCAACAUGGAGAAACCCUGUCUCUACUGAAAAUACAAAAAUUAGUCUUACGUAGUGGUGUGUGCCUGUAAUCCCAGCUGCUCAGGAGGCUGAGACAGGAGAAUCGCUUGAACCCAGGAGGCAGAGGCUGAGAUCGUGCCACUGCACUCCAGCCUGGAUGACAGAGCAAAACUCCAUCUCAAAAAAUAAAAAUAAAAAAUACAAUAAAAUACAAUACAUUAGCCAGGCAUGGUGGCAUGCACCUGUAGUCCCAGCUACUCAGGAGACUGAGAUGGGAGGAUCCCAUGAGCCCAGGAGUUCAAGGCUACAGUAAGCUAUGAUCAUGCCACUGCACUGAUCAUCCUGAGGCAACAGAGCAAGACCCUGUCUCAAAAAAUAAAAAAGAAAUAGAAAAAAUAUUAAUAAUGAUUGUCUCAGAGAAAUUAUAUAAUGAGUAUUUUUUCUUUCCUUUUUAUUCUCCUCUGUAUUAAAUUUUCUAAAAUACAUAUAUAGACCUUUUAUGAAAAAAAAGUAAUCAUCUCUAUUAAAUCUCCUCACAUCACCUCUUCUCUUGUCUUCCCUUAAUCCUGAAGAAAUGUCUACUCCUUAAAGUGACAUUGUUAGCAAUACUAGCACUGGGUAGCCAAAGGGCAUCCAGAAAUUUCUCAAGAUAAUCUGACCAUUUUGCAUUGCUGUGCUGGACUGGUGUCUUAGUCGGCUCAGGCUAGUAUAACAAAAUACCAAAGGCUAGGUGGCUUAGUAGAAAUUUAUUUCUUACAGUUCUGCAGGCUGGGAAUCCCAAGAUAAGGUCCUAGCUGGUUCAGUUCCUGGUAGGGGCUCUCUUCAUUCCUUGCAGAUGGCCGCCUUCUAGCUGUGUCCUCAUUUGGCCUUUCAGGCUGAGUGCGUGGGGAGAAAGAGAGAGAGCUCUUUUUCCCUCUGCUUAUAAGGCCACCAAUCCUACUGGAUUAGUACUCCACCCUUAUAAUCUCGUGUAACCUUAAUUACGUCCAAAAAGCCCUAUCACCAAAUACCAUCACACUGGGCUUCAGCGUAUACAUUUUGAGGGGUACAAUUCAGUCCAAACAGCUGGUAUCCUGAAGAUCUGCCAAAUCCCAUCAUCUACUGUCACUCCAAGAACCUACACAGAAAGUCCUCACUGAUUCAAUAUAACUGCCCAAAGAUCCACCUUGGAUGGAUAGAAGGAUAGUUACAGUCUUUUUAAAAAGAAAGAAAGCAGUCAGAUGCCUAUAAUCCCAGUGCUUUAGAAAGCUGAGAUGGGAGGAUUGUUUGAGGCUAGAAGUUCAAUACCAGCCUGGGCCACAUAAUGAGACCCCAUCUCUAUUAAGUAAAGUAAAAUAAAUAAAAUGCAGUUUUAUGACAUUUAAAUACAUUUCUAAUGUAAACUAGUGUAUUAGUCUGUUCUCACACUGCUAAUAAAGACAUACAUAAGACUGGGUAAUUUAUAAAAGAAAGAGGUUUAACUGACUCGCAGUUCAGCCUGGCUGGGGAGGCCUCACAAUCAUGGCAGAAGGUGAAUGAGGAGCAAAAUCAUGUCUCUUACAUAGUGGCAGGCAAGAGAGAGUGUGUGCAGGGGAACUCCCCUUUAUAAAACCAUCAGAUCUCGUGAGACUUACUUACUAUCACAAGAACAGCAAAGGAAAGACUUGCCCCCCAUGAUUCAAUUACCUCCCACCAGGACCCUCCCAUGACACUUGGGAAUUAUGGGAGCUACAAUUUGUGAUUUGGGUGGGGACACAGCCAAACCAUAUCAACUAGCAAAUAACAAACUGUCAUCAAGAGAGGUAGCACUACCAGUCCUAACAGGAGUGAAUGCGAUGGAUAGCUUCUCUGAUACACAUCUUUGUGCAACACAAAACUAAAUACUAGCAUAUUUCAGGUGGCAAUAAGU